AUAUAUAGGGUAGUGUUAAUCUCCUUUUCUCCCCUUAGAUUUAAGUUCCUUCUCAAUUUGGAGCGUUGGAUCAGGCGGAUGGACGAUCCGGAUGACAAGCAUAGAUUUGAUCCCAUAGUUCAUUAUUUGGGGCAUUUCGUGCAUCAUGGGGUUGAAUUAGUAAAUUUCUAUACUCAAAAACUCCCGAAACGGCAUGUGCGAAAUUUCUAUACCCACUACCUUCCCUCUAUUCUACACACCAUUCAUCUCCAAACGUAUUAACUCACAAUCUCUCUACCCGCUUCGUCUCCCCAAUUUCGAACCCCUUUCAAAACCCUAGCCGCCCUCUCUAACCGCUUCGCCUCCAACUCGAUUUCUUGGAAACAACCCUUCCGAUUUUGUGCAAGAUUCGUCUGUGGUCAAAGAGGAGAUUUCAAAAUGUCUAAAAGAGGACGUCCGUCAGUUUCACAACAAUCGCAGAAAGAGGCAUGAAAGCAGCUAAGAUUGGACAUUGACGAGGCGGUCGAUGAUAUACUGCCAGUAGGAAUUGCCCAGAAAUUCUGAGAGUUUCUGAAUUGUAUAAAGAGUUUAACUCCACGGUAGAAGGAAGUCGUUGCGGAACUUGAACAUGAGUCUAAGAGUGAAUGCAAUAUGUGUACAUUAUGUAGCUAUUUCUAUGCAUUAUUUAUCAUG